rnacentral:rRNA from 1 species
GAUGAACGCUGGCGGCGUGCCUAACACAUGCAAGUCGAGCGAAUUGACAGAGGUGCUUGCACCUCUCGAUUUUAGCGGCGGACGGGUGAGUAACACGUGGGUAACCUACCUAUAAGACUGGGAUAACUUCGGGAAACCGGAGCUAAUACCGGAUAAUAUUUAGCUUCGCAUGAAGCAAUAGUGAAAGACGGUUCUGCUGUCACUUAUAGAUGGACCUGCGGUGUAUUAGCUAGUUGGUGAGGUAACGGCUCACCAAGGCAACGAAACAUAGCCGACCUGAGAGGGUGAUCGGCCACACUGGGACUGAGACACGGCCCAGACUCCUACGGGAGGCAGCAGUAGGGAAUCUUCCGCAAUGGACGAAAGUCUGACGGAGCAACGCCGCGUGAGUGAAGAAGGUUUUCGGAUCGUAAAACUCUGUUGUAAGGGAAGAACAAGUACGUUAGUAACUGAACGUACCUUGACGGUACCUUACCAGAAAGCCACGGCUAACUACGUGCCAGCAGCCGCCUAAAAC